rnacentral:rRNA from 1 species
GACGAACGCUGGCGGCGUGCUUAACACAUGCAAGUCGAACGGAAAGGCCCUGCUUUUGUGGGGUGCUCGAGUGGCGAACGGGUGAGUAACACGUGAGUAACCUGCCCUUGACUUUGGGAUAACUUCAGGAAACUGGGGCUAAUAUCGGAUAGGAUCUCCUGCUGCAUGGUGGGGGUUGGAUAGUUUCGGCGGUUGGGGAUGGACUCGCGGCUUAUCAGCUUGUUGGUGGGGUAGUGGCUUACCAAGGCUUUGACGGGUAGCCGGCCUGAGAGGGUGACCGGCCACAUUGGGACUGAGAUACGGCCCAGACUCCUACGGGAGGCAGCAGUGGGGAAUAUUGCACAAUGGGCGGAAGCCUGAUGCAGCAACGCCGCGUGCGGGAUGACGGCCUUCGGGUUGUAAACCGCUUUCGCCUGUGACGAAGCGUGAGUGACGGUAAUGGGUAAAGAAGCACCGGCUAACUACGUG